GUUGUUUUCUUAGUACAUAUAGGAGUUAAAAGUUCUGCUAAUAUAUUAAUAAGUGAAAAAAGAGAUUUGAUACUCUAAAAUUCUCACUUUUUAAACCUAUCAAUCAGUUUCAAGUAAUCAUUUAGCUUGUGAAGUUUCUGUUUACCAAAAGCUAUGAUUCUCAUUUUCUUCCACUCGUCCGUUUAAAAAUAAACUGAGAUCAUACCCAAGUCAGAGAUUAUUAGUGUAAAAAUUCCAAAGAAACAAUAUAAAUGCGGCUACAAAAAUGUUUAACAAUUAUAUGAGUAUGUUUUCUAGAGUUUACUGAAAAUGAGAGCAAUUCGAAUACUAUGCCUUUACAAUUGGUUUUCUAGCAAUGAAUUUGAAAAG
rnacentral:lncRNA from 1 species